rnacentral:rRNA from 1 species
GGGGUCCGAGUUGUAAUUUGUAGAGGGUGUUUCGGGCGCGAUGCCGGUCUAAGUUCCUUGGAACAGGACGUCGCAGAGGGUGAGAAUCCCGUACGCGACCGGCGAUCAAGCCUGUGUGAAGCCCCUUCGACGAGUCGAGUUGUUUGGGAAUGCAGCUCAAAAUGGGUGGUAAAUUUCAUCUAAAGCUAAAUAUUGGCCAGAGACCGAUAGCGGACAAGUAGAGUGAUCGAAAGAUGAAAAGCACUUUGGAAAGAGAGUCAAACAGUACGUGAAAUUGUUGAAAGGGAAGCGCUUGCAAUCAGACCGGUCCGGAGGCGAUCAGCCGCUGCUCGUUCAGCGGUGCACUCGCCUGCGAUCCGGCCAGCAUCGGUUUGGGCGGUGGGAUAAAAGUCCCGGGAAUGUAGCUUCUCUCGGGGAGUCUUAUAGCCCGGGUCGCAAUGCCGCCCGCCCGGACCGAGGACCGCGCUUCGGCUAGGAUGCUGGCGUAAUGGUUGCAAGCGACCCGUCUUGAAACACGGAAA